rnacentral:lncRNA from 10 species
AGUGAUUCAACCGCGCCACCGAGCGCGGAGCUGCCCUGGAGGACGCAGGCGGGUCUAGUUGCCCGGGUCCCCCAAGGCCCCCGGAUUCACCCAGGCCCGCGACUCCGACGUGCAGCUUAGGUGGGUUGCAGGUCUAUGGCAGGAAAGGGAGGGCGCCUUGGAAGAAUUCUUCCCUUCCAUUUGGUGAUAAAGUGGGAGAGGCGGCAUUUACAACAUUUAAUAGAAAGCACGGGCUCUGGGCUCCCCUCGGGCAGCGGAGGGCAUUUCCCGGAUGCUUUGCCCACCUGGGGCAGAAGCUCGGGACCUGCAGCGAAGUAAACGUGUGGCUGUGAGCAGGGCCCUCUCCCAGCCACGGUGGCUUCUUCUACCCCACGAAGGUCAAGAAUACCUGGCCUGCCCACCUCGCGGGGCCCUUAGCGGGUCGCACAGGAGAAAGGCGGUGGGAAUGCCGGUGUCAGCCACGGUGUGACCGGCUCGGCUCACAGGUCUGAGGGUCAGUUGGCUCAGGCAUCGCCCGGUACGACCAGAGAUAGUGACUGAGGAAGAGCAGCCUCACAUCUGGCAGUUUGCCUCUGGGAGAAUUCCAGCGUGACAUCUGCAGCUCUGUGGUUCCAGAAAGGAUGGUUCCCACAUUGAAGAAGACAUCUGUGGGACUGAGUUCCACCGAAAUGCAGAGGAACCAAAAAUGAAAAUGAAAAAUGUAACCAGAGUUGUGUGCCACUAGUUUUAAGCUUUGGUUUUUCUAAAUUAUUUUCUGGCUUCUCCUUCUGGGCUUUGCUGUAAACUUGCCAAGCAUGAGAACAACUCUUCAUCUAUUGAGUGGCAUUUUAAGCCAUCCUGUCAAAGUAUCUCCUGUCAUUUUUAUUAUUAUUACUCUAUAUUGCCUGCAAGACACGACUGGAGAAUUCUUAGUGUAAGAAUUGUUUGUUUCCUCUCUCCUUCUUUCCCACGUUUUCCCAGGGAAGUCAGUCUUGCAUUUUAAUGCAUACUAUAUACAUAUCUCGUUUAGCUUACUGAACCACUUGUUUUAACAGAAUAAAACUGUGCAAAAUUUUAAUUUUC